rnacentral:rRNA from 1 species
CGGGUCUGACGGUACCUGCAGAGGAAGCACCGGCUAACUCCGUGCCAGCAGCCGCGGUAAUACGGAGGGUGCGAGCGUUAAUCGGAAUCACUGGGCGUAAAGCGCACGUAGGCUGCUUGGUAAGUCAGGGGUGAAAGCCCGCGGCUCAACCGCGGAAUUGCCUUUGAUACUGCCGAGCUAGAGUCCGGGAGAGGGUAGUAGAAUUCCAGGUGUAGCAGUGAAAUCCGUAGAGAUCUGGAGGAACAUCAGUGGCGAAGGCGACCUACCUGGACGCAGUAC